rnacentral:rRNA from 1 species
UUUAUGGAGAGUUUGAUCCUGGCUCAGGAUGAACGCUGGCGGCGUGCCUAAUACAUGCAAGUCGAGCGAACGGACGAGAAGCUUGCUUCUCUGAUGUUAGCGGCGGACGGGUGAGUAACACGUGGAUAACCUACCUAUAAGACUGGGAUAACUUCGGGAAACCGGAGCUAAUACCGGAUAAUAUUUUGAACCGCAUGGUUCAAAAGUGAAAGACGGUCUUGCUGUCACUUAUAGAUGGAUCCGCGCUGCAUUAGCUAGUUGGUAAGGUAACGGCUUACCAAGGCAACGAUGCAUAGCCGACCUGAGAGGGUGAUCGGCCACACUGGAACUGAGACACGGUCCAGACUCCUACGGGAGGCAGCAGUAGGGAAUCUUCCGCAAUGGGCGAAAGCCUGACGGAGCAACGCCGCGUGAGUGAUGAAGGUCUUCGGAUCGUAAAACUCUGUUAUUAGGGAAGAACAUAUGUGUAAGUAACUGUGCACAUCUUGACGGUACCUAAUCAGAAAGCCACGGCUAACUACGUGCCAGCAGCCGCGGUAAUACGUAGGUGGCAAGCGUUAUCCGGAAUUAUUGGGCGUAAAGCGCGCGUAGGCGGUUUUUUAAGUCUGAUGUGAAAGCCCACGGCUCAACCGUGGAGGGUCAUUGGAAACUGGAAAACUUGAGUGCAGAAGAGGAAAGUGGAAUUCCAUGUGUAGCGGUGAAAUGCGCAGAGAUAUGGAGGAACACCAGUGGCGAAGGCGACUUUCUGGUCUGUAACUGACGCUGAUGUGCGAAAGCGUGGGGAUCAAACAGGAUUAGAUACCCUGGUAGUCCACGCCGUAAACGAUGAGUGCUAAGUGUUAGGGGGUUUCCGCCCUUUAGUGCUGAAGUUAACGCAUUAAGCACUCCGCCUGGGGAGUACGGCCGCAAGGCUGAAACUCAAAGGAAUUGACGGGGGCCCGCACAAGCGGUGGAGCAUGUGGUUUAAUUCGAAGCAACGCGAAGAACCUUACCAGGUCUUGACAUCCUCUGAAAACCCUAGAGAUAGGGGCUUCUCCUUCGGGAGCAGAGUGACAGGUGGUGCAUGGUUGUCGUCAGCUCGUGUCGUGAGAUGUUGGGUUAAGUCCCGCAACGAGCGCAACCCUUGAUCUUAGUUGCCAUCAUUAAGUUGGGCACUCUAAGGUGACUGCCGGUGACAAACCGGAGGAAGGUGGGGAUGACGUCAAAUCAUCAUGCCCCUUAUGACCUGGGCUACACACGUGCUACAAUGGACGGUACAAAGGGCAGCGAAACCGCGAGGUCAAGCAAAUCCCAUAAAGUUGUUCUCAGUUCGGAUUGUAGUCUGCAACUCGACUACAUGAAGCUGGAAUCGCUAGUAAUCGUAGAUCAGCAUGCUACGGUGAAUACGUUCCCGGGUCUUGUACACACCGCCCGUCACACCACGAGAGUUUGUAACACCCGAAGCCGGUGGAGUAACCUUUUAGGAGCUAGCCGUCGAAGGUGGGACAAAUGAUUGGGGUGAAGUCGUAACAAGGUAGCCGUAUCGGAAGGUGCGGCUGGAUCACCUCCUUU